rnacentral:rRNA from 1 species
GACGAACGCUGGCGGCGUGCUUAACACAUGCAAGUCGAACGGAAAGGCCCUGCUUUUGUGGGGUGCUCGAGUGGCGAACGGGUGAGUAACACGUGAGUAACCUGCCCUUGACUUUGGGAUAACUUCAGGAAACUGGGGCUAAUACCGGAUAGGAGCUCCUGCUGCAUGGUGGGGGUUGGAAAGUUUCGGCGGGUGGGGAUGGACUCGCGGCUUAUCAGCUUGUUGGUGGGGUAGUGGCUUACCAAGGCUUUGACGGGUAGCCGGCCUGAGAGGGUGACCGGCCACAUUGGGACUGAGAUACGGCCCAGACUCCUACGGGAGGAAGCAGUGGGGAAUAUUGCACAAUGGGCGGAAGCCUGAUGCAGCAACGCCGCGUGCGGGAUGACGGCCUUCGGGUUGUAAACCGCUUUCGCCUGUGACGAAGCGUGAGUGACGGUAAUGGGUAAAGAAGCACCGGCUAACUACGUG